rnacentral:rRNA from 1 species
UACAGAGGUCUCGAGCGUUGAUCGGAAUUAUUGGGCGUAAAGGGCUCGUAGGCGGUCUGUUGCGUCGGGAGUGAAAACUCAGGGCUUAACCCUGAGCCUGCUUCCGAUACGGGCAGACUAGAGGUAUGCAGGGGAGAACGGAAUUCCUGGUGUAGCGGUGAAAUGCGCAGAUAUCAGGAGGAACACCGGUGGCGAAGGCGGUUCUCUGGGCAUUACCUGACGCUGAGGAGCGAAAGUGUGGGGAGCGAACAGG